CUUGACUGCUUGAGGCACUCUGGCUCUGUCCCGCCCUCACAUGUGCCACCCAUAUCCAGCUCCAGCGGUUUCCAACACUUGUACUUCAAGGGUCCUUGAUGCCAGCCUGUCCUUUGAUUCCGGGUGCCACUGGUUUCUCAAGCUGCUGAUGUCCACGCGGGGAGAAGGGUUAUCUGCUGACUCCCCAGCACCUACUACAGAAUCUUCUGAACACAGCCUCCAGAAAUACAAGGAUGAUGAUGAUGAUAAUAACAACAAUAACAGUAAUAAUGCUGUUUGAUUUUCCAGUGAAGAAAUACGUGACAGCAGAGGAAGAAAGCCAGAAAAAUACAUUGGAAUCACUGUGUACAGAUGUUCUGCUGUCUUUCCUGUGCUGCUGGCUCAAGGCUGCAACCCUGCAGCCUGGCAUCAUGCAGAAGCCACACAGUUGAGGAGCUGAUGUCCUUGAAGAGCUGUAUGGAAGAAAAUCCACCAGCCCAGCAGACUCACCCAAGCAAGAAGUAAACUCCACUAUGUGUAUGGGCCCAGCAACCCUGGAACUGCAUCUACCUUGGCAGAUAAAGUUGAAUUCAUAAUUUUGUAGUCAUCAGGCUUCAAAAUUACAGCCA